CCGUUAACACAAACUUAAACACACAGUGAUGUGGUCAUUGGAGGAAACUAGGAGUUCCGGAGCGCCUCAGGAAUGAGAUCAUUCAAAUUAAAGCGCGUGGCAAUUACCAAAUGGCAAGAGGCUAAACGCCGGUGCAAGUGCAGGAGAGCAGGCCGUCUGAUGAAGAGGCAGACGCCGAAUGACUGCGGUGGACGUGCUUAACAACUUACAGGAAGAUGGUUUACCAAAUCCCUGCUUCAUUCUGUGUCUUUCUCACUGUGUGUGAGUUUUGUCAAUGAAAGACCCGAGUUCUGAAAGGAUGAGGCUCUUGAGGACACAUGCUGAGGUCCACAGUUGAAUCCUUUGUGGCAAACUCAGAAGAGGCUCGCAGAGGAUAAAUGGGGUGAAAUGGAAAGAAAGAAAUGGAGGAAGAUGUAAAGGAGAGAAAGAGAGACAAAGGCAGACAUGGGAAAGAAAGAGACACGAGAAGAAAGAGAGAUACUGAGAGACAUCGAGAUGUCUGCCAUGCUUGGAAGGAGGAUAGUGCCAUCUAGAGACCUCAUGUGACAGUUGUGCAGUUUUGUCACAUCCAAGGAGAAGUGGAACAAGGAUUCAAAUUCUAUACUGAGAGCUGUGCACCCCAGUGCGCAUGUCCAUUUCCGGUUAGCGCGCAUCUACCGCUACCGCCAAACUCAUUCAAACGCAAGAGGUCAAAGUCGUCCAACUCUCACCGAAGGCUGAUUCCAUCGUUGAUUUUGCCUACCUUAUGUGGUGUCUGUGACAGUGAAGUUGGCGGCAGUUGGAAAAGAGGUACCCUCGGUCACCAAGACUGUAUUGACCACCAGGGUACCAGAUAACGGUCUUACCCAGCCAGACCAACUCAGCAGCAGCCGCAGCUUUUCGUCCCACUGCACCUCCUCCCUCACUGCUGCUUGAUAAGAAGCUUUCUCAGUAGACCGGACCAAAAUCCUUCCAAGACGACAACUGUUUGGUGCCAGUCGCUCGAUCGCCUCCUCACAAGUACAUGUUGUUUCAGAUUCUUCAUCAUUCCCACCUUAUGGUAGCGUGCUUGCAAACUUCAGCUAGGCCUACAGCUGCUACUACAGUACAAACCAAUGACAUCACCACAGCACGCACUGGUGUCCUGCAAUGUCUGCUCCUGUACCUUGGAGAUAAUUCCAGCGAAUUCUUCCUCAGCUGCUCAGAUUCGGACUCUGCAUGUGACUUCACACAGGUGCGUGUUGGUGUUCUUACAAUCAUGACUGAGGAGACGCCACCUUUGAUUAACAGCACUGCAAUCGUCCUUGAAGGCAACAUUGUCACGGAUGAGAUUCCCACAACCUCUCAUGCACUUUGUCUUCUGUUCGGCUUAAUGUGUGCACACCAUCUGGAUUACCCCAAAGGUAUGAAGAACACAUUUGACUUCAUCCAGAAGAUGUUGUUGAACCUCAGACGACAGUAUAUGAUGUUUAGCAUUAGAGUGUAGUGUGCUUCUGCAACAAAUGUUGAAUAUAUCAAAGUUGUUAAAGAGCUGACUUACAUUUUGCUGCUUUGAAGAUGUAUGUACAAGUACAGUUCUAUGUAAUAAUUCAGUUUUAAUUAUCAGAUUUUAUUCAGAUUGCUGAAGUAACCUUGGGGACGCAGCAACUUGAUUUGAAUUUAACUGUACUGAGAUACAUUAAGUUACAACUUCAAAAUAAAGUAAAGCUUACUUAAAUAUAA